rnacentral:rRNA from 1 species
CACGUAGGGCGCAAGCGUUGUCCGGAAUUAUUGGGCGUAAAGAGCUCGUAGGCGGUCUGUUACGUCUGCUGUGAAAACCCAGGGCUUAACCCUGGGCUUGCAGUGGAUACGGGCAGACUAGAGGCAGGUAGGGGGGAAUGGAAUUCCCGGUGUAGCGGUGAAAUGCGCAGAUAUCGGGAGGAACACCGGUGGCGAAGGCGGUUCUCUGGGCCUGACCUGACGCUGAGGAGCGAAAGCGUGGGGAGCGAACAGG